rnacentral:rRNA from 1 species
UACGAAGGGGGCUAGCGUUGUUCGGAUUUACUGGGCGUAAAGCGCACGUAGGCGGAUCGUUAAGUCAGGGGUGAAAUCCUGGGGCUCAACCCCAGAACUGCCUUUGAUACUGGCGAUCUCGAGUCCGGAAGAGGUGAGUGGAACUCCUAGUGUAGAGGUGGAAUUCGUAGAUAUUAGGAAGAACACCAGUGGCGAAGGCGGCUCACUGGUCCGGUACUGACGCUGAGGAGCGAAAGCGUGGGUAGCAAACAGG